GCUCCAAUUUCCUUUCAGCUUCACCAGUUUCCUUUUCAUUGCUAAGCUACAAAGGAAAAAAAAGACAAAGGGGCAGAAGAAAAAGAAGCCCACUUCACUGUACAGAGAAGUUGCUGGGGUUCAUCUUUCGUGUGGUAAAGUUAUUAAAGAGACUGUGUGAUGCUGAUCUGCACAAGAACACAGGAGGCCAUCAGUAGCUACAGUAGUAAUUAGACUCUCCACUAAGAAGUACCAAGUAAGAAGAAAUGCAAUAUAGGUGUUACAUAUAUCAACUGUGAUAGAAACUCCUGAGCCUCACCAGUAAAAGCCUUGUGAAGGAAUGAACUACAGAUCCUGGCAUGGGACAUGAAGCAGCCUCCAGGAUGGUCUAGAGAAUGUGGCAGGAAAAUAUUUGGUUGCUUAUUAGAAGAACUGUGUCCACUGAAUUGAUACAUUUUAAAUUUAUUUUGUUUAUUUUUUAUGUGUAUGUGGGUGACCCUCCUGAUUUUUCGUCAGUGUAGCUUUUACAUUCCCGAUGCCCACAUAGGCAUGAAAAGGGCAUUGGUUCCUCUCAGAUUGGAAUUACAAAUGGUUAUGCGCUGCCUUAUGGCUGCUGGGCAUUGAACCUGGGUCCUCCGAAAUAGCAAUGUGUAAUGUGUGCUUUUAAUCACUUAGACAUCUCUGCAGACCAUCCCUACUGUUUAAUAUAAAUAUAGAGAGGCCUUGUGUUUUAUUACAACAGCUGAAAAAGGUAAAGUAGAUAAUACAUAGCAAACAAGACCAUGGUUGUCAUUGAAUCCAGUGUCAUAUAGUUCCAAGCCCAAAGACAUCUCUAACAAUGGUACUCUGCCAGAUAAUCAACCUAGAGUUCAACCUAGAGACCACAGAAAAACAUUAGUUUAAUAACAUUU
rnacentral:lncRNA from 1 species